rnacentral:rRNA from 1 species
AUGGUUAGCUGGCCUGACAUGUGCAAGCCUCGGGGACAGGGAGGCCUCGGGAUCAUGUGCUCCAAGCGCAUGAAUAUCGCCCUCCUAUCCCGCUGGCUUUGGCACAUCUCGCAAGGCCAAGGUGGCCUCUGGCUUGACAUCAUCCCGAACAAGUAUCUGCGUGGCCAGCCACUUGCCUUCUGUCAGUGAUCUGGUGGCUCGCAGUUUUGGCAGUCGGUCGUCCAGCUUCUCCCGGUCCUCCGCAUCGGGACUUCCAUCUCGGUGGGGUCUGGCUCGGCGACAUUGUUCUGA